ensembl:lncRNA
CUCGCUGUAAAGGCACUGGGAGAGGUGUUUUUGUAUCAGCUCCAAAGGAUUUGGAUGAGAGCAAGUGCCCUUUUUACUUUUUGGUUCCUUUUGCCUUGAUAUAAUCCUGCUAUCUGAAACCUCAAGGGGAAAUAUUUCAACACAGAGACAGUCUUCAGUGAUUAAACUGUCACGAAACACAGACGAAGCUGGUAGGGUUGAUUGGCUCUCACUGUGCCUUGACGCAGCUGUGGCUUGGACGAAGCUGAACUGGUUAUGAGUCAAUCAAGGGAGGAUGGGAUUAUGCCAGAGGUCAGGGAACCAGCUAGUUAGAGAAGGAAAGAUGUCUACUUUCUCAUUUUUUUUUUUUUUUUUUUUUAAUGCUGAUAGCAAAGAGGGGAAAAAAAAAAAGUGAAUGUGUCCCUCAGUUGUUACAUUUUUCUGAGUUACAAAAAGUGGAUUAAAUUUAUUUUUAAUGUAAGAAGAUGAAAAAUGCAUGACAGGGGCUGGACAAGCAUCCUUGCUUCCUUCAGAAAAGCUCCGUUUUCAGAAAACAAACCGGGGCUAAAGUUUGGCAGUCACUGGAUGCAAAAGCCUCUGGUUACUGCACUUUUACACCAGUCCAGGAAUACAGGUGUCGCUUUGACCAUCGCUGUAGGGGUUUUUCAGGUGGGAGGGACCAAAGCAGCACCUUCCCUGCACUGCUGGGCCCAUGGCUCUGGUGGGAACGAUGGAGCUGCCUCCUGCUGACAGAUACAUGCCCCAGGGAUGGAGCACUUGCAGAUUUGAAAUUGGACCAAAAACUGGCUCCGGGAAGACCUUCGUCUGAAUAGGACCAAUAACAUCUGGCUAUGUCAGUGGCAGAGCUGCUCGGGCUCUGUAUGCUGCAUUUGCUUGCUCUCAUCUGAAGCAGCAGAGAUUCCCCACAGCUGGAGAUAUUUUUCCCUCCCCUUUCCCUGCCUUCCCAGAAGAAACUGCUGGUCCAUUUGAAGACCUCUCCCCUGCUCACCUCCUCACCGGCCGCACCGUUGCACUGGCCGCAAGAGAUUUCCACAGAGAAACUGCAAAGAAAUUUCCCAGGCUCUCUGCUAUCUUCGUAAGCCCCAGGGACACCCUCCAGCACACACAGGUACCACUGGCUCCUUGCAGCAGCUGCCUGCUGUGCACCUUGUGCUGCAGAGCCAGGAAGGAGAGAGGACAGAUCCUGAUGCUCCGUCUGCAUCCUCAUCUCCAUGUCCAUGUCCAUGUCCAUCUCCAUGUCCAUCUCUUUGCCCACUUCCAUCUCUUUGCCCAGCUCUCAGGUUCACCCUCCCCAUUGUCCAAAAGAAAAGAGAGAGGGAGAGAGAGGGAGAGGGAGAGAGAGGGAGAGAGAAAAAACAAUAAAUGAAUAAAUAACAAAAAAAUACAGACCAACCAACGCCCCUAGCUGUAUAUAUAACAGCUUUCCCAUGGCCCACCAUCCUAGUAGGCCCAAGCCUGCUCCCCUUGGAGAGCUGAACCACUCGGGUGAGAGGGUGGGCAAGGACCCAAGUUUAUAAACAUGGGAUUGAGAGGCCAUCCUACAUUUUUGAGCUGAUUGAGGCAGUUCAGGGAACGCUACGAGCUAGCACUGCCCUCUGUAUCCUACAGGGCACUUCCAGCUUUUAUUGCUGGGAAGUCUGUGCUUUGUAGCCGGGUCUGUGCUGGGAUCCCCAUGGCCACGGGAGAGGUAUGAGGUGAGGGAUAUCUCCAGGCGCCCUUUAGCUCUCAGCUCCCUGCAUCGUUCUGCAGCCUGUCGCAGGGUGACGGGAGGGUUUGGCAAACCUCCCCGAUGCCUUUCUGCUCGGGCUGUGGUGAAUGCACACAGCACUGGCCACAGCUCACGGUCACAUCAGAGAGACAAGCAGUAGGACGGAAGUGAACGUGCUGUUUAUGUGCAUGUUUUGCUGAAAUACGCAUUUAAACAUAAAUAAGUAACAACAGCAAAGUGAGUGGAAGGAGCACAGGCAGGUUUAUCAUUUCAUAUGAUUUUAUAAAUAACUCUGCAAUAUUCCCACUCCACAGCGCUCCUCACACCAGCUUGGAUUCACCACCCUCAGCUUUUUAAUCCUCCUUUGGGAAGCAAGCU